rnacentral:rRNA from 1 species
AGAGUUUGAUCCUGGCUCAGAUUGAACGCUGGCGGCAUGCCUUACACAUGCAAGUCGAACGGUAACAGGUUAAGCUGACGAGUGGCGAACGGGUGAGUAAUAUAUCGGAACGUGCCCAGUAGUGGGGGAUAGCCCGGCGAAAGCCGGAUUAAUACCGCAUACGACCUACGGGUGAAAGGGGGGGAUCGCAAGACCUCUCGCUAUUGGAGCGGCCGAUAUCAGAUUAGCUAGUUGGUGGGGUAAAAGCUCACCAAGGCGACGAUCUGUAGCUGGUCUGAGAGGACGACCAGCCACACUGGGACUGAGACACGGCCCAGACUCCUACGGGAGGCAGCAGUGGGGAAUUUUGGACAAUGGACGAAAGUCUGAUCCAGCCAUGCCGCGUGCGGGAAGAAGGCCUUCGGGUUGUAAACCGCUUUUGUCAGGGAAGAAAAGCU